UCGACUUUCAUUAUAUAUAUAUAUAUCGACUUUCAUUAUAUAUAUAUAUCGACUUUCACUAUAUAUAUAUCAACUUUCAUUAUAUAUAUAUCAAGUUUCAUUAUAUAUAUAUAUCAACUUUCAUUAUAUAUAUAUCAAGUUUCAUUAUAUAUAUAUCGACUUUCAUUAUAUAUAUAUAUCAACUUUCAUUAUAUAUAUAUCAAAUCUUUUUUUCCUACCGAGCCCCGGAAGGGACAUGUCCGUAUGGCGAAGCGACAACGAAGGACACUCACCCGGACGAGAAUUUUAUUGAGUUUUAUUUUAAAAUCGGCCUGAAACACACAGACAUUCAAGCAGUGCGAUGCGCUAAGAGUCUGCCAUGCAGACCAGCGAUCCUGAUAAUGGUAAGUUUUAUUUCUCCAACAUCCUGCUGUUAUCCUACUAUGAAUACGCUAGCUACAACAGUCCCACAUCAGUAUUAUGAACGUUCCGCCAGCUAACGCGGUCCGGACACCGGAUCAGUGAUUAGAGGUUGGCGUUCAACUAUUGUUUGCCAGCCAGUUAGCCGCUGGUAAGCUAACAAGCUAUGAAACAACUCCUUAUAAAACCGGAGGAAAGCAGCAGCAAUAUUUCAGUCCAAGACCUGUAUUCAGAACCUCCCACGCUGUUGCACAAUGACCCAUUAAUCAUAUUACUGAACUAUAUGGUUAUCAUUGAAAUUUCCCUUGAAGAACCAGUGAACUCUUUGCGAACACAUUUUAAUUUAUGUGUUGAUUAUGUUUCGUAUCAGUAAUACAAGUCUAAAAAACUGAUUGAAAUGAUCAAGUUAACACAAUGAAGUAAAGAGUACUGGUAAUCUGCAGCUAUUUUCAUAAUUUCAAGGUGAAAUUCUGAUGUGUGAUUUUCUAGCUUUGCAGAUGUGGAAAUCCAAUGCACUGAUUUCUUAUACACAGAUGCUUUUGGUGUUUUUUGUUGUAAAAUAAAACAAGGCAUUUAUCACUGUUGGAAAUUAUUACAGGUAUUAUUUGUAACACUUUCUAACAUUGUAUGGACAAAGCAAUAAAUCAGUUAAUGGAUAAAAUCAUUUGUAUUACAGAUGCUAUCAACAGCAUGUCUUGUUCAUUUUAUUUAGUUGUCGGCCUUGGAUGAUGAGGUCCAGUUACCAGGAGCACUAGUCUGCAGCUUACUGGUUCCGUCCUGCAGCUCCUCCACGCCGUCCUCCUCUCUACAGACCAAAUCAAGAAAAGGGAACCAGGAAGCUGCUGUGGAUCCUCUGCAGUAUCUGGAGAGGUCAGAGGAACGGUUCUUGGAACAGAUCGGAAGACACCAAGACGUGACCUCUGCCAUUCUCCAGAACAUCCAGAAGAUGAAUGAAAACCUUGGUUGCACUGAUGGGACGCAUGGUGUCGGUGCUGGAGCAACUGUCCCAGAAUUAAACUGCAUUGUUGACUAUUGGCUUUUCUAGAAAAUAAAUCUUUUUUAGUACUUCA